rnacentral:tRNA from 1 species
UAGCUCAGUUGGUAAAGAAUCUGCCUGCAAUGCAGAAGACCUGGGUUCAAUCCCUG